AUCAGUCACUCACUGCACUGUUGUUCCACUUUCUAGGCUGUUUCUACCUGAGUCCCCAUCUCUUCUCUUUCUACUGAGUGGGUAUCAGCCCCCUUCUUCACAAACCCGGGACCUCCUCCUGCUUUCCAGCACCAUUACAUGUCCGUAGCAGACCGGGAUCCUGACUGUCAGUUACAGCUACUACUGCUGCCCUAUAAAUAGUCAAAACGCAGGCGGUGCCAGCUCCCAGAUCACAUUUUAACCUUAAACGAAUUGCCAGUUUUCUGCUGUAAUUACCCAGGUUGGAAAGGAGUACAGACCUACAAACUUAUUCUGAGUAAACUCUGCACGAAGGCUUGGCAGCUCCAGCUCUACAGCCUUUUUUAAAUGGAAGGCUCUUCCAAGCCAAAUUCUGUCUGCGGGAGCAACCCGUGAUAGCCUUGAUAGAAGGUUAUUUUGUCUCCGGUCUAAAUGCUACCUAUAUUAGUAGUAUGACUAUGGGAAAACAGCCCCUGCUUCUGGGGCCAUUGCUCUUGCUGUGCAAAGAUCGUCUUUCUCUGCUGUUAUUUUACUGGGAUCACUGACCAAGGCAAGAUCUUGUGCGUUCAGGGACUCGAGGGACUGCAAGGUGACAAAGGAGGAAAAUAUGUUCAUGGGACACGGAAGAGGCAGCUUUCAGGAAACAGAGCCUCCAGCAGAACUCGUAUCACAUACACAAACAGAGGUUUUGACCAGAGCUGGCAUCUCCCCUAGGGAGAAGAAGAGCAAGCAAGGAUCAUAUGCAAGAGUGCAAUAGAUACAGUGCUGGGAUGGCAUGAAGAGCAGAGCUGGAUGCCAGCCUCGUGUUAUUAACAGAUGACUACAUGAAGAACAAGGCUGAUACAAGCACAACGACAGCUACUUGCCAUGAUGUGAACCUCACCGAAAGGCAUUCUAACACCAGUGACCAACCCCCUGCUUUCCCACCAUGGCACUGACCCUAACAGACUGAGGGCCCUCAGUGCUCCUCGCUCUCCAUGCUCUCCAGACCUUUCCCCAUCUCACAGCCCUCCUUGGACGCUCUCUAACAGCUUCUGGGAAUGUCUGCUUUGCCAAAAGUUGCAGUCAAGCCUGAAGAGUUAUGACUGGCACAAAGCACAGGGUCUGCACCAGCCCCACCGGAGUUCGGUAGAGCCCCUGCUCCUCUGUGAGCUCUGCAUAGGAGGGACCCUGUGGGUAUUCAGAAAAAGCACCAGCAGAGAUAAUUCACUCCUUGUGUUUGGCUGUUUUGGGGUGGGAUUCUGGGGUACGGAGGGCAGAAUGUUGGCUCUGGGCAACUCAGAAAAGGCCUCGUGCCGUGAAGUUGCUGCCCAACGCUUCCACAUCUAAACACCCUGUGUUUCUAAGUGCUCCAUGUUUCCCAAUUCCCUGCCACAUCACAGGGCUCCCUGCUCUCAGGAGGCAGAACCAAGCAGUGCAGAGCGGCUCUGGUAUCCCUCAGUGAACAUCCUGCUGACGGGGCAACGCGUUCAAAGCACGGGCAUAAAAACAUUGCUUUGAAACGGGGCAUAAAAGAACACGGAGGAAAAAAACUCGAUUGUUCCUCUGUGAAAUUUCUCUGGGAAGGCAGCCACGACGACUAAAAGCAGCGCAGCUGAUGCCAGUAUUGAAGUUCUGCCGUAGGAAGUACCUACGGAUUAAUCAAUCAUGCAGUGAGCACAUUACCUAAGAUUGGAGCGAGCGAAUCCCCACUGACUAGUGCUGUUCCAAAGACUACUAGGACACUGUGAACUGGUUUAUUGUCCUAUAUGCUCUUAGCAAAUGUUUUUCUUCUUGCUUGCCUCGGUGAGUCGAUCGCUGGGCUCCUCUGGCGGCUUUUCCAAUGGUUCUUUGGGAACGUUCUCGCUGUCGCUCAACUGCUUGGGAUUUACCUUUCUGCAGAACUGUGCCUUACUGCCUAUGGGACCACCCUGGGGAGGUACACUGUUAGGGAGAGGCUUAAUCCACACUGGCACAGGCUGCCCAAGGAGGCUGUGGAUGCCCCAUCCCUGCAGGCAUUCGAGGCCAGGCUGGAUGUGGCUCUGGGCAGCCUGGGCUGCUGGUUGGCGACCUGCACACAGCAGGGGGUUGGGAUCAGAUGAUCACUGUGGUCCUUUUCAACCCAGGCCAUUUUAUGGUUCUAUGAUUCUAUAAUUCUAUGAAUCCAGCUUGUGUGCUUCAGCAUGCAAGCAGCAAUGGGUGUUGGAUACUGUGACCACAAAAAAUGCAAAGGAACUAACAGAAAAGAGCAGGGCAGUAUGACUGUCAAGUUGUUAAAGGUUCAGGCAGGGUGGGCCAGUCCUUAAGCAACUUGCAAAUUAGCAGGAACUGAGGAUUUUCAGCACUAAAAAUGUGAAUUCUCUGUUUUCUAAAUGGCUAGUAUAUUUUUCUGUGUCUGAAAUACAAAGGAAGCUGCUGUAGGGAGGCUCCUUUCUGCCACAUGAGAGCCUGUUCUUCCCAGGGCAGAGAAAGGAAAAGGAUUUAAGAGGAUCCCAGGGGUUGCUGUGGGGGGGAGACAACGAUGUAAUUUUUGAAAGCGAUUCUAAGCAAUUAAAAAGCCAUUUCAUUCACCAAGUGAUUAAUGAAACAGCAUGUGCUGAAUGGAAUGGUGCGAGACAACUGAAUCAACCUGUCUAAUGUACCUAUCAAUGCCUACUUCCUAUCCAUCAGCCACUGACAUAAAGUCCAUAUGUUUGCACAUUAUAUUGUCAUACUCAUUUUAGGAUGCCAUUAACAGACAGGUAUUUGCUGGGGAGAAGGGCUCCACUGCAGAGCAGAUCUUCUGCCACCCCACGGCAAGUCAUUAAUCCUGAAGAAGCGCCCAGUGCCUCAGUGAUUAUUGCUUAAUUGCAAAAUAAAUGAAAUACUUGGAAACA